AUCACUUCUCAGCCUUUUGGCUAAGAUCAAGUGUAGUAUAAGUCCUGCAAAGUUACAUUUGGGUACUGCUCUUCACACAGUUCAGCAGAGGACAUUCAGCUUGCAAGCUCCAAUAGGCAUGCAAUUGGAUCAAUCCAG
rnacentral:snRNA from 1 species